GGUUUGUGGCUCUGUGGUAGAGCACUUGCCUACCAUGUGUGAGGUACUGGGUUCGAUUCUUAGCACCA
rnacentral:tRNA from 1 species